rnacentral:rRNA from 2 species
AGAUGCGAUCAUACCAGCACUAAAGCACCGGAUCCCAUCAGAACUCCGAAGUUAAGCUUGCUUGGGAGAGAGUAGUACUAGGAUGGGUGACCUCUUGGGAAGUCCUCGUGUUGCAUUCC